UGGGGAAUAUUGGACAAUGGGGGCAACCCUGAUCCAGCCAUGCCGCGUGUGUGAAGAAGGCUUUCGGGUUGUAAAGCACUUUCAGUGAGGAGGAAAACCUGACGAUUAAUACUCGUGAGGCUUGACGUUACUCACAGAAGAAGCACCGGCUAACUCCGUG
rnacentral:rRNA from 1 species